UUUUAUUUACGGUAUAAAUGUAAAUAUAGAGUAACAUAUUAAAAUUUUUACAUUUUUUGGAGGUUUUUUUACAUGGCUACUACAGGUACAGUAAAAUGGUUUAACAGUGAAAAGGGCUUCGGUUUUAUCGAAGUACCAGGCGAAAAUGACGUAUUCGUUCAUUUUUCAGCUAUCCAAUCUGAAGGCUUCAAAACAUUAGAAGAAGGCCAAAAAGUUGAAUUUGAAAUCGUUGAAGGUCAACGUGGACCUCAAGCGGAGAAUGUUGUAAAAUUAUAAUUCAACGCUACAUAUGAAAGCUGCCGAUAGGCAGCUUUUUUUUA
rnacentral:sRNA from 1 species